rnacentral:lncRNA from 1 species
ACAACCAUAAUCUACGUGCCCUCGGCACAAUCCGAUGCAAAACAGCAAGUCUGGGUCCACCGUCAACCUCAACGGCAUCCGACAGUCCGGAACAGUCUAUACACUACUGUAAAAAUAAGCUCGGUAUCUCAGCACAAGCGUAAAUACAUUCUACACUAUCCUGGGUAUCCACAGCUCGCAAACUACGGCGAUACAAACAAACUACGGCUCCUAGAGCUAAAUCCGUAGUUUUAACAAAUGACGGUGUAGAAUCGCUAGUUUUCUCCUA